UGGGGGAUAUUGCACAAUGGGCGAAAGCCUGAUGCAGCGACGCCGCGUGGGGGAUGAAGGCCUUCGGGUGGUAAACUUCUUUUGCUCUGAACAAGGCAUGCUAAUGGGUGUGUUGAGUGUAGGGGUUGAUUAGCGCCGGCUAACUACGUGCCAGCAGCCGCGGUAAUACGUAGGGCGCGAGCGUUGUCCGGAAUUAUUGGGCGUAAAGGGCUUGUAGGUGGCUGGUUGCGUCUGUCGUGAAAGCUCAUGGCUUAACUGUGGGUUUGCGGUGGGUACGGGCUGGCUUGGGUGCAGUAGGGGAGGCUGGAAUUCCUGGUGUAGCGGUGGAAAGCGCAGAUAUCAGGAGGAAUACCGGUGGCGAAGGCGGGUCUCUGGGCUGUUACUGACACUGAGGAGCGAAAGCAUGGGGAGCGAACAGG
rnacentral:rRNA from 1 species